AAAGUUAGAAAAAUUCAAUUGGGUUAAAAGUGUCCUGAAAAAUGCAGUAGGGUUAAUUCCCUUCUUAUUAGUUUGUCUUCGAUUUUGAAUUGCUCAAUUUUUCCGUCAAAAUUUGAUCGUAUAAAUAGGCACUUGUAUGUUUCAUUCUAACUUAUUAUGUCUAGUAACUUUGACUUAUUACCAGAUUUAGAGGAAAAUUUUAAAUUAUAUAGUUACUAUAUUUUAUGUUUCAGCAAAUAUUUUAUCAAAUUUAGGAUAUAAUUGUUGAAAAUAGUUCAUUAUUGGCUGAUUACUAUGAAUAAAAUAACGCUCCGAAGUUACCUACACGAAUGCUGCGCUUAUAGUACCAAUAUAAAAAACGUGAAGUAACUAUCUAGUUCAUUUUUGCAACAUACAAUGAAUUUACAUAAAAAUAUGUGUAUAUAUAUACAUAUAUACAGUUAUAUUAGUAUUUUUGCUUAGUUGUGUAAAAAUAUACGAACAUUUAAAAUGAUAAUAAUGUUAAAAAUGUUGAUUAUUUAAAUGGUAGUUUAUUAAUUGUAUCGUUCAUUAUGCUCAUUAUUUUUUGUAUUAAUUAUCACGGUCUGUGUAAUGUGUGCUUAAUAGGAGAAAUUUUGUGCAGAUUAACAGCAACUUUCUACUAUCAGAGAUCAAGAAUCGUUCAUUUCAUUGUCAUUCCAUACUAUUAUUCUUUAUUGGAGUGGUAUAUGUGAUUGAUAAUUAACAGUUUCUCGAAUGUGGUACCCAUAACCUAUAAGUAUCAAACUAUUCAGAACAGUCGAAUAUUAUUCUUAUCUUUAGAUGAACAGCACACCUUCAUCACAUUUAAAUUUACGAAAAAAAUUGUUUAACAAGUACAAAUAUGUAAAAUGCUUAAUGCUAAGUUUUUGACGGAAUAGUCGAAAAAUAUUUUGUGAUCUUAUCUGUCUAAAGUUUCAAAUUAUUCGCGUAUUUUCUCUCCUACGUGCUUAAAAUUAUAUUUUCAUUUUUUGUCUAAAAUUAAAUUUUGGAACUGUAAGAGAAAUACAUAUUUUGUGUUAUGUUGAGUAUAAAGAAGUUGAGCUGUUGAAUAUGUGAUACAUCUGAAUAAGUUCGCGCAUGCAUUAUCUCGAUCAAGUGCAUACUUAUUGUAUGGUAAAUAUAUUUUAUCAAAAUAAUUUGCAAAAGUUACACUUAAUGAUAUAGUCUGAAUAAGUGUGCAAAAGUUGAAAACACAAAAAUGUAAUUUUGCUACUUCAGUAAUUUGUUGUAACAAUAUACACGAAAGUAUUAAUUACAGAUAAAUUUUUAUAUCCUACAAGUAUGUAUUUCUUGAAAAUUCUAAACGAAUUAUUUCAUAAUAUUUUAUAGGUAAUUUGAGAUCUUUAAUAUAAUACGUAACAUUAGUGUUACAUAUUAUACUUUGUUACAGUAAAAGAUGAUUACUCAUAAAAUAAAUUUUUUUAUAAUAUAAAAUAUCACGUUUUCAUUAUUUAUUUAUGUAUAUUGUUCGUAAAUAAUUGUAGAAAAUCAAUUAUAUUUGCCUAAUAUGUUUAGAAAGAUAUAACAAAGAUGGUCGGAGUUUUGAAACAAGGUUAAGUAGAACAUAUGUUUAUGUGGCUUCUUGGAUAUUUAUGUUAAAAUUAUUUCGAAAACUAUGUCAGCAUAUGUAGUAAUUUAUUUUGUAUAUUUGUAACUAUAAUUAUUGUAUAAUUAAAGAAUAUGAUAUAAUGCA